rnacentral:rRNA from 1 species
UACGUAGGGUGCGAGCGUUGUCCGGAAUUAUUGGGCGUAAAGGGCUCGUAGGCGGCUUGUUGCGUCGGGAGUGAAAACUCAGGGCUUAACCCUGAGCCUGCUUCCGAUACGGGCAGACUAGAGGUAUGCAGGGGAGAACGGAAUUCCUGGUGUAGCGGUGAAAUGCGCAGAUAUCAGGAGGAACACCGGUGGCGAAGGCGGUUCUCUGGGCAUUACCUGACGCUGAGGAGCGAAAGUGUGGGGAGCGAACAGG